GGUGCUUUUGGUUUAUUUCCUUUGUUUCUCACUUCUCUAGCUUGUUAGUAAUGAGCAAUAAAUCUUACUAUCUGUCUUCUUAUCUUGAAUCAAAUAGUUGAAAAUAUAUGAAAAACCUCACAGACCAACCCUGACAUGUCUCUAUUCAUGCAUCACCUGCUGUCUGAUACACAACAAAGGAAAAGAAAGACUAUGGAAAAUUAGAAUAAAGUUUGUGACCAAGCAAAUUAAUUAAACAGAUUUUUUAAAUCACAAUAUUUUGAAAAUAGGAACAGCGCAAAUGAGAUUAUACUUUGUCAUCUUGUUCUCUGCAUUGCAACCAAACAAGUUUCCUCACAGGUGACCAGUGAGAAGUCACGUGAAAUAAUAUGGAUUGACAUCUUCUUCACACAUCAGAUAUCCCGAAUCUUCUGGAAAUCACUGACUGCCCAGAGAAGGUACCCUGCAGUCUCUCCAGCAAGCAAUGAAAAUACUGAGGUCUUGACAGAAGAUAAGCAAGUGAAUGAAGUUCACAUAUGCUUAAAUUCAUCUAUCUUCAUUGAAACAUACAAUUACAUCCCCUUAAUCAAAACUGCCUAUCUGUUUUGCUGAGACAGACUUAAGAGCAUGAUAGAGGCUUAGUUUCAGGUGAUUAUGAUGAUGACCAUGGUUUCUGAUGGCCUUGGAAGUCUGACCACUGGCAGUGGGCUUCAUGGGAACAACUGAUGUAUGCCUGCCUCAAGUGUUUCAUUGUACUGUUUAAAAAUCAUUAAAAAUUCAUUCUCUUGAAAAUA